AGAGUUUGAUCAUGGCUCAGGUUGAACGCUGGCGGCGUGCCUAACACAUGCAAGUCGAGCGGUAACAGGCGUAGCAAUACGUGCUGACGAGCGGCGAACGGGUGAGCAAUGCUUCGGAAUCUGCCCAAUGAUGGGGAAUAACCAGUCGAAAAGAUUGGCUAAUACCGCAUACGCCCUUCGGGGGAAAGCGGGGGUCGCAAGACCUCGCGUCGAUGGAUGAGCCGAAGUCGGAUUAGCUAGUUGGUAGGGUAACGGCCUACCAAGGCGACGAUCCGUAGCUGGUCUGAGAGGACGACCAGCCACACUGGGACUGAGACACGGCCCAGACUCCUACGGGAGGCAGCAGUGGGGAAUAUUGGACAAUGGGGGCAACCCUGAUCCAGCGACGCCGCGUGUGUGAAGAAGGCCUGCGGGUUGUAAAGCACUUUUAGUGGGGAUGAAAAGCACAUCGCUAAUACCGGUGUGUCUUGACCUAACCCAAAGAAAAAGCACCGGCUAACUCUGUGCCAGCAGCCGCGGUAAUACAGAGGGUGCGAGCGUUAAUCGGAAUUACUGGGCGUAAAGCGUGCGUAGACGGUUAUUUAAGUUGGGUGUGAAAGCCCCGGGCUCAACCUGGGAAUUGCAUUCGAGACUGAAUAGCUAGGGUACGGUAGAGGGAAGCGGAAUUUCCGGUGUAGCGGUGAAAUGCGUAGAUAUCGGAAGGAACAUCAGUGGCGAAAGCGGCUUCCUGGACCAGUACCGACGUUCAGGCACGAAAGCGUGGGGAGCAAACAGGAUUAGAUACCCUAGUAGUCC
rnacentral:rRNA from 1 species